AGCAGCUACUGUGAGAUCAUGAGGCAACAAUCAUGAGGACACGGCUAAGAAGACAGCAGAGAUGAGGAUUCCUGACACGGCAGAGCCACCGAACAACCUCAAAGCUGCUUUUCUUCAGAAGAAACCCUGGCAGCCUCGGCAUCACCUCAUCAGCAGGUUUGCAACUUGCAACCACUUCCCAGCACUUGGCAAAAGAAGGCAAGAAAGCCGCCCUGUUCUCCUGUGAUGUCUUUACUAAGUAACUGCGGAAGGACCAGUGCAUUUUCUACCUUCCAAGGCAGACACUCUGGCACCUGAGAGUGAUGAUCUUGUGUAAACCAAUCAGGGUACUGGAUAAAUACAGCUCUGAUGCCUCUGGUAUGCCAGUGGCUUUAGUGUAUGGUAGAACCAAGGUAAUAAUAGUAUUCUGUGGUAUGUGUGACAUCUUCCUUAUCAGCAGUAAGCCAAGAUUUUUUUUAGAGUCAAUAUCAACUACAAUCUUGCAGCGUCAUAACGUUUAAAUAAAUUACAACAGUUAGACCCCAAGAGGUUGGUUCUUGACUUUAAGCAGUCUUUCCUGCUUGCUUUAGAGAUUUAAAAUAAUUCAACUUCCUGGAAAAGAACCCUAAAAAUAAGCCCCUAGAAUUAUAAAAACAAUGUAAAAGAUCGCCAUCAUUACCGUUCCUAGCAGCUGACUUAACUAUUAUUUGAGAACCUUUUAUAAAACAAUUCUAUGAUGUCAUAUUAUUGCCUUUCUGGGAAUUAUUUCCCCAAUAUUCCCAUGUCUCCAAACGAGAAAUUUGAGACUUGGAGAGGCUUAGCAACUAGCCCAAGGUCAGGACACAAAUAGAAAGCAGCAGGACGAAGGUUUAAACCAACAUCCCGUGCCUUAAAAGUUCGUUCUCCUCCUGCUUUUCUACAUUGUCUUAUGAGAUAAUGUAAUUUCUUUAAUUGAUAAAGGUCAAGCUAAAACAAUGAUGUAACAUUUUAAACUAUUAUGUUAGUCAAAAAAAUUUAAAAAUAAUAUCCAAUGUUGACCCAAGGUAUGAUGAAGCCAGGUGUCUUUUAUGUCAACCACGGUAUAAAAUGAUAUGAAGCUUUUGGAAAACAAUUUGGCUAUUUGAGUGAAGUGACUGUAAAUGGGUACAUAUUGUGAUUUCCUGAUACUACUUUUAAUAAUCUAUCACAAGAAAUUGAAAGUUGAAAGUGCUAAUUGUAUAGAUGUUCAUCAUAGAAUCAUUUAUGAAUGUGAUACAGAAGCACCCUAAAUAUUCAAAAGUAGUUAAAUGUUACUGUAUCUGCUAAAUGUAAAAGUGAUUACUAUAUGUUAAAUGACAAAGCAGGAUAUACACUUAUCUAAAUUUCAUUUAAAACGACAAAUUUUAAAAAGCUGAAGGGUGAUUUCUAAACUACAUGCUAAACUUUUUGAAGUUUGGCAAACUGCUAUAAUUAAAAGUGAUUAUUUUACUAGAACUAAGGAAUAUGAAGUUGGUCAACUCAACUGUAAUCUCCACCACUACUUACAGCUUUAAAAUAAAAAUAUCUCAAAGCCAUAGUACAACGAUUAAAAAUUUACACUCAGAGGAACAUGUUUAUGUGUGGAGGCAAUGUCUUCUGUAUCAGCUAAAAUAUGACUCAUUUCCAGCAGAAUAUGAAAAAAGUCAAGGUGAUUUUCAGUCACAGAAUAUCACAGUAGGGAGAAAUCUAGAAAUCCACCCUUUCAGUUACAUAGAAAACUAUUAUCAAAGAGGUUCAAUGAUCCACCCAAAGUCACUGGCUUUUCAGCAUCAUUUUUCAGCAUCAAAGUCGUCUUUCC
rnacentral:lncRNA from 10 species